UGACGGAAUCUCUAGGGUUGGAACCCAAGAAAUGACAGGUUCAAAAUUCUCCCCAGGUGAUUCUGAAGGCAGCCGGUCUAUGGGCCCACAAUUGGGAGCCCCUGGAGCAGCACAGCUGUAUCUUAUUGAGAAGGGAGCACAGACUCAGUAAAAGCCUUGCGUUGUUAGUCCUGCACUGCUUACAAGAGAUGCGACUCCAGCUCCAGAUCAUCAAAGAGCCCACAUAUCACAGUAUUAGAGUGAUUGGGUGAUGUGUAUCUCGCCGCCCGGUCCGACAGACCCAGACGCCCAGAGGACAGAUCUGCUCUCUCACCUUUGCGGGUCCUGAUACACCUAUGAUACCGCUUUGCCCACAAGAUAGGAAACCUGAGGUUCAGAGCGCUUCCUGAAAAGGCCAGCCUCCAGCAACAUCUGUCCCAGGGGCCAGGCAGGUGGAGAUGCCGGCAGUGGACACCAGCAGAGAAGUAAACCAGAUGUGCCAAGAAGUAUAUAGGACUGGAAGGAGGGAUGACUUCCCCAGCACCAGAAUGCAGCCAACCAGGAGAAAGGACUUCUCCACCCCUGGCAGCCGCCAAGGAACUGGGAGGCCAGAGGCAAGAACACUAUGUUCAGUUACAAGAUAUAUUCCACUCUGUAGCCAUUUGUAUUAGUGUUCUAUUGCUGCCAUAACAAAUUACCAUAACUGUAGCAACUUAAAACACAAAGAUACUGCGUUUUAGUUCUGAGAGUCAGAAGUCCCAUGAGACCCACUGGACUGAAACCACCGCCUCAGCAGAGCUGUGUUCCUUUGAGUAGGCUCAGGGGAGAAUCCAUUCCUUUGCGCAUUCAGGAGUUAGCAGUGCCCAGGGGUUGUAGGACUGAGAUCGCUGUUUCCUUGCUAGCUCUCAACUGGAAAAUGCUGUCUCCUUCACUCUCUCUGGUCCUUACAUGUAGCUCUUUAUAUCUCAGAACCAGCAACAGUUGCAUGGAACUCUGCUCACACUGCCUCUCUUCUUCCAUAGUCACGUUUCUCCCUCUGACCGCGCCUGGGGAAGGCUGGCUGCUUUGAAGGACUCAGGUGAUUAGAAUAGGCCCACCUGAAUAAUCCAGGCUAGCCUCUCCGUCUCAAGGGCCAUAACAUCGACACACCUGCAAAACCCCUUUCACCACAUAAGGUUAACAUAUUCACAGGUCCUUGGGACUAUGAUGAGAACUUUGGGGGGUUGUUAUUCUGUCUUCCACACCAUUAUAUAUUCAACAAGUAUUUAUGUAGUGCCUUAAUGGGCCAGGGACAAUGCUAGGUGCAGACUUAAGAUGUCAGCAUCGGGGGCGUUAGUCUGGGCAGAGAAUCUGGGAGUGGGGUGCGCACCCCUGGACACCUGUCUUCCUGCUCCUUUGCAGUACUCCAGGGGGCACCAUCUAUGUCAAACACAAUGUGGAUUGUACCCC
ensembl:lncRNA